AGCACUUGUUGCCCAUCCCUAGUUGCUCUUGAGAAACUGUCGAUGAGCUGCCUUCUUGAACUGCUGCAGUCCAUUUGGAGUAUAGGUAGACGCUCAAUGGUAUUAGGGCAGACGUUCCACGAUUUUGACCCAGCGACGGUGAAGGAACGGCGAUUAUAGUUCCAAGUCUAUAUGGAUUUCUGGUGUUGUGAGGAAUAUAUUGCACGAUUAUGUCCUUGUUUCUGUGAAAAGUGCACAGUGGUCCAGUACACCGAAUAGCUGAGGAGUCCAGCUCAAUCAGAUGUACAGGAAUUUGAAAUGUUGCUAAGACUUCGAGAAAUCUGCAAGUACUGAACACGCACACUGGACCUCCAUGAACUGAAUGUGUACACUUCUGUGUCAAGAGUCGACAGGUUUCACUCAGUAUGCAGAAUCUGAGCCGAACAUGUUUCACACCACGUGACUUGACUUGUUUCUGUAUCGUGCUGUUCACCUGUUCAUUCCUGAUGCCAAAAUAAGCCACACUCUUGUCCUGCACUAUUUUUUUACAUUCUGUUCAUGUGACACCUUUUGAGAAUGAGGCUGAGAAUGCGAAAGGCUUCUCAGCAGACAAACCCUGUCCAUGCAUCACGACCAGACAAGAAACGGAAGCGCUCAGAUGUAGAUGAUUCAAUACCUAUUAUGGGCGCAAAACCACAGAAAAAGGAAACUGGUUUGCUCUCAUCAAUUAAAAGACUUAUUCGAGGAACUGCUACAAAGG